GACGAACGCUGGCGGCGUGCCUAAUACAUGCAAGUCGAACGCAGUGGGGACGGGUGAGUAACACGUGGGUAACCUCCCAUCAGAGGGGAUAACACUUGGCAACAGGUGCUAAACCGAUACUGAUGGAUGGACCCGCGGUGCAUUCGCUAGUUGGUGGGGUAACGGCUCACCCAGGCCACGAUGCAUAGCUGGCCUGAGAGGGUGAUCGGCCACACUGGAACUGAGACACGGCCCAGACUCCUACGGGAGGCAGCAGUGGGGAAUCUUCGGCAAUGGGCGAAAGUCUGACCGAGCAAUGCCGCGUGAGUGAAGAAGGUUUUCGGAUCGUAAAACACUGUUGUUGGGGAAGCGUUACCUAACCAAAAAGCAACGGCUAACUACGUGCCAGCAGCCGCGGUAAUUC
rnacentral:rRNA from 1 species